CUCGAUGGUCGGGAUUCUAACCUAAAAAUAUCGAACAUUGAAGAUUUCAAUUAUUGGUUUAAAGGUUAUUAAUUUUAAUAAGGAAUAAUAAGUAAAUCACCUGGAGUAAAAACUUAUAAUGUUGUUUUCUGUUUUAUUGCAGAAACCCAACUGAGUUUUUAUUUCGAGAAGGAGUGGUAUAUAAUAACCUUAUUACAAAACAACAUUAAAUCAAAUGUUUAAAUUAAAUCAAAAUUAAAAAACUUUGAUACCUGUGCCAUUUUUAUAUAUUGUAGUCUUGUUAUCUUAAUAAUUAUUUCAUUUUGUUUAGUAUUAAUAGUGCGUAUCUAUUAAUCCCAGUCUUCAACACGAUUCAAUCGCUAAGAGCACGUGACAUGCCACGGCUCAUAGAUCAUGUAUUUGCUAAAACCUUGAAUUUAUUUGUUAAUACACAUAUUAGACGAUUACGUCUCAAUGAUAUUACUCACAAAUACUUUUAAGGAAGAUUUCGUAAAACGCCAUAAUUACGCUAACCUCAUAUUUGAACUGACAUCAAAACAUCUCUGUCGCAAUACAAAUGUUUUAAUCGCCUUCAUAAAAGUAAUCAGUUUGGUAAUUCCAAGAAUUUGUUUAAUAAAGCCCCUUUCUAGAUGAGGGGAGAAUAGACACUGUCACACAGAGAGUGUUAUGAAACAGGGGCUAAAGGGGCAGGAAGCUCACCAGAUGCUACCAUCAUGAACAUUCUAUAAUAAGAAUUAGUAAACUCUUUUCUUGAAGGACCCUAAGUCGAAUUGAUUUUCCAGUUAUUGCAGUAGACAAACCAAGUAAAUAACUCAGCGGGCAGCUAGUAUAUAGUGGUAGUUCAGAUCCCAGGAAUUUCAGCUUCUUAAGAUAUGGAGGAGUUUAAGGAUUGAAGAUUAUAUUAUAUUUUAUAUA